GUCCACGCCCUAAACGAUGCACACUAGAUCGAUGCGGGUUUCACCCCGUAUUGGUCGUAGAGAAAUUGAUAAGUGUGCCGCCUGGGGAGUACGGUCGCAAGGCUAAACUCAAAGAAUUGACGGGGCUCACACAAGCGGUGGAGCAUGUUGCUUAAUUCGAAGCAACGCGAAGAACCUUACCUGGGUUUGACAUGCACGGAUUAGUUCCUGGAAACAGGAAUGAGGCCCGCAAGGGUACAACGUGCACAGGUGCUGCAUGGCUGUCGU
rnacentral:rRNA from 1 species